CUUUUUCUUUGGUUGAGCCGUCGAUGCUCCUUUGGGACGCGAUGAGAAGUACUCUCUAUGCUUCUCUUCCUGCUCUUGUUCAUGGAAGGAAGUGGCUGUUGCUGUACAGGUUGUCGGAGACCGAAGAGGAGCAGUGUUUGGAAGCUUAGUUGAAGCGCCUCUUAGACCAUCCAACAAGAAAUACCAGGUCAAACCAAAACUCAUUUAUCCAAAGAUUAUCCGAUAGAUUGUAUCUGUUAUUGUAUUAUUGAUGACAAAUAUUUGGUACAGGGAACAAACAGUACAUUUGUUUUCACAAAUAUUUUUGGCCAUCCUGUUAUAUAUCGUUCAACAGGGUUAAACCGCUAUUUCACACUAUGCAACAGCGAGUUCUUAGCAAUUGGAGGGGGAAGUCAUUUUGCGCUUUAUUUGGAGGGUGAUCUGUAAGAACUUUCUACUUCCGUCGCUAUCUCUUUGCUUAAAUUGUUACUUUCACACUGCC